UACGUAGGGUGCGAGCGUUAAUCGGAAUUACUGGGCGUAAAGCGUGCGCAGGCGGUUGUGCAAGACAGAUGUGAAAUCCCCGGGCUCAACCUGGGAACUGCAUUUGUGACUGCACGGCUGGAGUGCGGCAGAGGGGGAUGGAAUUCCGCGUGUAGCAGUGAAAUGCGUAGAUAUGUGGAGGAACACCGAUGGCGAAGGCAGCCCCCUGGGUCAAGACUGACGCUCAUGCACGAAAGCGUGGGGAGCAAACAGG
rnacentral:rRNA from 1 species